rnacentral:lncRNA from 1 species
CUUCGGACCAGAGAGCGGCGCAGGUGCAAACGGUAGUCCCCCAGCAGUAAAUCGUCGUGGCGCACCAGUGGGUACGCGGUUCCACGGAGGGUGAGCCCGGAGCGCAGCAGGCGUGACCGCGUCUGGAAGUCUGUGACGGUGAUGAGCCACCUGUGGGCGAAGUGAAGGCCCAGAGACGUCUUUGGGUUCACCCUGGCCCCCUUCGCUUGCGGGCGUCACUGCGGUCUUCUCAGCUGGAUCGUUCACCUCACCUGGGAAUGCGCCAGGUCCCGCCCUCGCUACUGUCUCCUCAGACUCCGCUAGAAAAGCCCUUCAGCAUAGGACCUGCCCCCACAAUGUC